AGUAUCGCGUGGGUAAUCUACCUAGAGGUGGGGGAUAGCCUCGGGAAACCGAGGGUAAUACCGCAUGAGUCCUCAAUGACACAAGUCGAUGAGGGGAAAGGCGGGGCUCCUUCGGGACCUGUCGCCUCUGGAUGAGCCCGCGUUCGAUUAGCUAGUUGGUGGGGUAAUGGCCUACCAAGGCAACGAUCGAUAGCCGGCCUGAGAGGGUGAACGGCCACAUUGGGACUGAGACACGGCCCAG
rnacentral:rRNA from 1 species